GUUUUGAAAAUUAGUUCAAAAUUUGAAUUAAGACGAUUUUGCUGCACUACUGGUGCUGUUGCUAUGUUAAAGCUUAGCAAGCCAAACCCAGAUGACCUGGGACAGUUAAAGAAACAGGGUGCUUAAACUGAUUAAAAAAGGUAUCGCGUUGACAUCAUACGCUGGAAAGCUGGUUGGGGUCAUCUGGGACAUGCUACUUCUGAUUCUUCAAUCCAUAGUGCUCUUUUUCGGAUUGUUUGCAGGACUUCACAAGCAUUGGAGGUCUGAAUGCUCUGUAUCUGUUUGGUCAGAAUUUGCUAUUGAAUUUUGUUUCUUCACUGA